rnacentral:rRNA from 1 species
AGUGAACGCUGGCGGUAGGCCUAACACAUGCAAGUCGAACGGCAGCACAGUAAGAGCUUGCUCUUACGGGUGGCGAGUGGCGGACGGGUGAGGAAUACAUCGGAAUCUACUUUUUCGUGGGGGAUAACGUAGGGAAACUUACGCUAAUACCGCAUACGACCUACGGGUGAAAGCAGGGGAUCUUCGGACCUUGCGCGAUUGAAUGAGCCGAUGUCGGAUUAGCUAGUUGGCGGGGUAAAGGCCCACCAAGGCGACGAUCUGUAGCUGGUCUGAGAGGAUGAUCAGCCACACUGGAACUGAGACACGGUCCAGACUCCUACGGGAGGCAGCAGUGGGGAAUAUUGGACAAUGGGCGCAAGCCUGAUCCAGCCAUACCGCGUGGGUGAAGAAGGCCUUCGGGCUGUAAAGCCCUUUUGUUGGGAAAGAAAAGCAGCAGGUUAAUACCCCGCUGUUCUGACGGUACCCAAAGAAUAAGCACCGGCUAACUUCGUG